rnacentral:rRNA from 1 species
AUUGAACGCUGGCGGCAGGCCUAACACAUGCAAGUCGAGCGGCAGCGGAAAGUAGCUUGCUACUUUGCCGGCGAGCGGCGGACGGGUGAGUAAUGUCUGGGAAACUGCCUGAUGGAGGGGGAUAACUACUGGAAACGGUAGCUAAUACCGCAUAAUGUCGCAAGACCAAAGAGGGGGACCUUCGGGCCUCUUGCCAUCAGAUGUGCCCAGAUGGGAUUAGCUAGUAGGUGGGGUAACGGCUCACCUAGGCGACGAGCCCUAGCUGGUCUGAGGGGAUGACCAGCCACACUGGAACUGAGACACGGUCCAGACUCCUACGGGAGGCAGCAGUGGGGAAUAUUGCACAAUGGGCGCAAGCCUGAUGCAGCCAUGCCGCGUGUAUGAAGAAGGCCUUCGGGUUGUAAAGUACUUUCAGCGGGGAGGAAGGCGAUAAGGCUAAUAACCUUGUCGAUUGACGUUACCCGCAGAAGAAGCACCGGCUAACUCCGUGCCAGCAGCCGCCGCAGUAA